rnacentral:rRNA from 1 species
AGAGUUUGAUCAUGGCUCAGGACGAACGCUGGCGGCGUGCCUAACACAUGCAAGUCGAACGAGGUCCAACCGGUGGCAACACCGGGGAAUACCUAGUGGCGAACGGGUGAGUAACACGUGAGGAACCUGCCCCGAAGACCGGGAUAACCCUCCGAAAGGAGAGCUAAUACCGGAUACCCCCACCGGACCGCAUGAUCUGGUGAGGAAAUGGAUUCCGCUUCGGGAGGGCCUCGCGGCCUAUCAGCUUGUUGGUGGGGUAAUGGCCCACCAAGGCUUCGACGGGUAGCUGGUCUGAGAGGACGAUCAGCCACACUGGGACUGAGACACGGCCCAGACUCCUACGGGAGGCAGCAGUGGGGAAUCUUGCGCAAUGGGCGAAAGCCUGACGCAGCAACGCCGCGUGGGGGAUGAAGGCUCUCGGGUUGUAAACCCCUUUCAGCAGGGACGAAACUGACGGUACCUGCAGAAGAAGCCCCGGCCUAACUACGUGCCAGCAGCCGCGGUA